rnacentral:rRNA from 1 species
ACGAACGCUGGCGGCGUGCCUAACACAUGCAAGUCGAACGGAGAUGUUUUGAAAGCUUGCUGAUAAACAUUUUAGUGGCGCACGGGUGAGUAACACGUGGGCAACCUACCCGGAAGUCUGGGAUAACAGUGCGAAAGUACUGCUAAUACCGGAUACCUUCACGAAGCUACAUAGUUUUGUGAAGAAAGAUUUAUUGCUUCCGGAUGGGCCCGCGUCCCAUUAGCUAGUUGGUGAGGUAACGGCUCACCAAGGCGACGAUGGGUAGCUG